AUUUUCUGUUGGUAAUGAUAAGAUUACAAAGCAUCAGAUACUUUACUGGUAACAAGGUUUACAUCAACACCUUGUAAUUCAGAUACUUUACUGGUAACAAGGUUUACAUCAACACCUUGUAAUUCAGAUACUUUACUGGUAACAAGGUUUACAUCAACACCUUGUAAUUCAGAUACUUUACUGGUAACAAGGUUUACAUCAACACCUUGUAAUUCAGAUACUUUACUGGUAACAAGGUUUACAUCAACACCUUGUAAUUCAGAUACUUUACUGGUAACAAGGUUUACAUCAACACCUUGUAAUUCAGAUACUUUACUGGUAACAAGGUUUACAUCAACACCUUGUAAUUCAGAUACUUUACUGGUAACAAGGUUUACAUCAACACCUUGUAAUUCAGAUACUUUACUGGUAACAAGGUUUACAUCAACACCUUGUAAUUCAGAUACUUUACUGGUAACAAGGUUUACAUCAACACCUUGUAAGGGUUAAAGGGCAUUUUGAUUAUUUUAGUUCCAAUAGAAAACAAUAGAUUUUUUCCAUUGGUCUCGUUUCAAUUAUUUCAUUUGACUGAUAUGUUAGAGGGCAAAAUGGAUGAUUUUCUUAUUCGUCUAAACAAAUUUAAACAUGCUAUAGAAGAAUGUCUGAUAACAGGUCCUUACUAAAUCAUAGUGAUGAGCUAUACAGGGGCUAAACCAUGAAAAUUGUUCAGAAAACAAUUUUUGCUAGUAUCUAGUGGUCAGUUUGGAUAAUUUUAGCAAUUGGUGAACGUUUCCUUCCAACACUGUGGCAAAGGAAAUAUAUAACUCAAAUUUCUUCAAUGGAAGGCUAAGUAUCAUUUUUUCAAGUGUGUCUCCUUGAUGGAACUUUGAAUUGUAACAUAUAUAUCUAUACAUAUAUAUAUAUAUACAUUUGUUGUAUACUUUAAGUAGUAUUAAUCAAAUAAGUUCAAAACCAAGUUAGUUCAAACAGACCGUAUACUAUAGAUUCUGUUUAGGUAUGAUUAUGAACAGAAAUAUAAUGUUCCUAAAUGAGGGUCUGGAUGAAGUUAACAGAAUAGAGAAUAUCUCCCAGAAAAUAAGGGAUCGAUAAAAAAUUAGCAAAGUAGAAUAACAUGGUGCACAAAUAUAAAGAAUACUGUGUUCCACAUUCCUUGGUCUCCGGCAGGGUGCACAAAUAUAAAGAAUACAGAAUACUGUGUUCCACAUUCCUUGGUCUCAGGCAGGGUGCACAAAUAUAAAGAAUACAGAAUACUGUGUUCCACAUUCCUUGGUCUCGGGUGGAUAGUUGUCUCAUUGGUAAGAUACCUCAUCUCAUUAUUUUUAUAGUAAAUAGGGAAAAGUGGUCUACAAAAUUAGAAGAAUAUAGAAUGAGGCUCUUAAUCAUCCAGAUCCGCCGUAAUGUGUUUGUUCACACUAAAACAAAGACAAAAAACAAAUUAGAUUUUGACCAUGGAUCAUUAAAGCUGCAUUAUCUACAUGAGCUCCUGGUGUUUACUUCUUUUUUAAAAGCUAAAAAUAAAGCAGAUUUCAUGCAAAAGAGGAACAAAAUGAAACAUGUUGAACAGUAAGUGGCUUUCUAUACCUGCCAUUGUCCCUAUUCAUCUCUGGGAUUUGAUAACAGUUUAAUAGUAUAUAAAAGGUACACUUUAUUCACAAUUUGUUUACAUUUCCCCUGAACAGAAUUUUCUUCCUCUUCCCCUUUCUAAUGUGGGUAACUGAUUAUCCAUUGAUGGUUUUGGUGUUCUGUUACCAUGUUUGUUUGCUUACAACCCAGUCAAUUAGUCUCCGAUGAAUAGUCGUCUCAUUGGCCAUUGAAACACGUCUUCUUGUUUAGUUUUGAGACCAGAAUGUGUGCUUCAAUUCUUUGCACAUAUCCCUCCCACAAAUUAAGUUUGUAACUAACGUGGGGACACAAUGCACUAGCAUUUUUAUGUCACAAAAUUUGGCAUAAUAAGUCUUAUUUUCCAUGAUCAUAAAAAGCAGUGCUGAAAAAAAAUGACUGGUGAUAAUUUGAUUCGUACAUCUAUCAAAGCCAAUACAAUUUAGGACAGGGGAGCAGUUUAUGAACAGCAGGAUCACAAUUAAGUUUGAAUUAUUAAUUUUUGUAUCAUGUUGAAAAGAGGGACAUACAAAAAACUUAAAAUUAUAUGUCUGUGCACCCAAAUGAAUAAAAGAAAUUUGUCUGUGCACCCAAAUGAAUAAAGGAAUCACAUAAAAUGUAGAUAUAUUUGUUUAUUUGUCCUUCUGAUUAGAAGGAUGGUGUAAAACUAAGAAUUGUUUCAUUGUUAUAGUAGAAGUACAUUAUGUAAACAAACUACAUAAAGAUGUAAAACAUGAA